GUCUUCUUGAUUAUAAUUUGAAGUCUGACCUGCUCUAUGAAUUUUAAAUGGCCGCAGUAUUUUGACUGUGCUAAGGUAGCAUAAUAAUUAGUUUCUUAAUUAGAAGCUUGUAUGAAUGGUUUGAUGAAAAAACUUCUUUCUUAUUAUUAAUUACUUUGAAUUUUAUCUUUAAGUAAAAAAGCUUAAAUAUUUUUAUGGGACGAGAAGACCCUUUAGAAUUUUAUAAAUCUAAAAAUUGAUUUUUUUAGAAUUUAUAAAUUGAUUUAUUAGUUUUAUUUAAUUGGGGUGAUUAAAAAAUUUAAUAAACUUUUUUUAUUAAAAACAUUUUAAAAGGUUUUUUGAUCCGUUUUAACGAUUAAAAGAAAAAAUUACCUAAGGGAUAACAGCGUUAUAAUUUUUAAGAGUUCUUAUCGAAAAAAUUGAUUGCGA
rnacentral:rRNA from 1 species